rnacentral:rRNA from 1 species
AGAGUUCGAUCCUGGCUCAGGAUGAACGCUGGCGGCGCGCCUAACACAUGCAAGUCGAACGGCACCUAUCUUCGGAUAGAAGCGAGUGGCGAACGGCUGAGUAACACGUGGAGAACCUGCCCCCUCCCCCGGGAUAGCCGCCCGAAAGGACGGGUAAUACCGGAUACCCCGGGGUGCCGCAUGGCACCCCGGCUAAAGCCCCGACGGGAGGGGAUGGCUCCGCGGCCCAUCAGGUAGACGGCGGGGUGACGGCCCACCGUGCCGACAACGGGUAGCCGGGUUGAGAGACCGACCGGCCAGAUUGGGACUGAGACACGGCCCAGACUCCUACGGGAGGCAGCAGUGGGGAAUCUUGCGCAAUGGGGGGAACCCUGACGCAGCGACGCCGCGUGCGGGACGGAGGCCUUCGGGUCGUAAACCGCUUUCAGCAGGGAAGAGUCAAGACUGUACCUGCAGAAGAAGCCCCGGCUAACUACGUGCCAGCAGCCGCGGUAAUACGUAGGGGGCGAGCGUUAUCCGGAUUCAUUGGGCGUAAAGCGCGCGUAGGCGGCCCGGCAGGCCGGGGGUCGAAGCGGGGGGCUCAACCCCCCGAAGCCCCCGGAACCUCCGCGGCUUGGGUCCGGUAGGGGAGGGUGGAACACCCGGUGUAGCGGUGGAAUGCGCAGAUAUCGGGUGGAACACCGGUGGCGAAGGCGGCCCUCUGGGCCGAGACCGACGCUGAGGCGCGAAAGCUGGGGGAGCGAACAGGAUUAGAUACCCUGGUAGUCCCAGCCGUAAACGAUGGACGCUAGGUGUGGGGGGACGAUCCCCCCGUGCCGCAGCCAACGCAUUAAGCGUCCCGCCUGGGGAGUACGGCCGCAAGGCUAAAACUCAAAGGAAUUGACGGGGGCCC